UUGGAAGGAACGAUAUCAUCGUUACAGAGUCAGGGUUUUGACGAGGAUUCGCAGGCUGUGAAAGACAUCAGAGAAAUGAUGACUGACUACGAGAAGGAAAGAUUAGUGCGACUUGAGAAUAUCGUCAAAAAAUGCGAUCAUGGCGAAAUACAGGUUACAGAAACUCUUUUUGUAUUUUCACAAUUUGUUAUUUUGACGUGAUAUCAAGGUGGCUGAAUUCCGUGACAACGUCUUCCGCUGAACGAUCUAUUUAUUGUCAUAAAAUUUCUUUGAUCUGCUAGUGUGAUCUUUAACCGUUUGUAAAAGGGAAUUUAAAUCGUCCCUCUAUAAUAAUAUUAACGUAGGGCCCAUUUCAUACCUCAUAUUUUACAUACGCCAAAAACAUUGAAGACAAAAGAAAAUCAGAUGAAAUUCUUCAUUAUGUUUUGUUUAAAUU